GGACUUCUGAAGAGUCCCGCAAUAAGACGAAAUGGCCGUCCAGUGC
rnacentral:hammerhead_ribozyme from 1 species